AUUGAACGCUGGCGGCGUGCUUAACACAUGCAAGUCGAGCGGUAGCAGGCGUAGCAAUACGUGCUGACGAGCGGCGAACGGGUGAGUAAUGCAUCGGAAUCUUCCUAGUAGUGGGGAAUAACCUGGGGAAACUCAGGCUAAUACCGCAUACGACCUACGGGUGAAAGCAGGGGAUCGCAAGACCUUGCGCUAUUAGAUGAGCCGAUGUCGGAUUAGCUAGUUGGUGAGGUAAAGGCUCACCAAGGCGACGAUCCGUAGCUGGUCUGAGAGGACGACCAGCCACACUGGAACUGAGACACGGUCCAGACUCCUACGGGUGGCUG
rnacentral:rRNA from 1 species